rnacentral:ncRNA from 1 species
UUUAAGGGGUGCCCACUUUUUGGUGGUGCUGAGAUUAAACCCUCGACCUGAUCUGGGUAAUGCCAGCGUAGGAAAGACGA